rnacentral:tRNA from 1 species
GGAGAGGCCAGCCGAUGUGGCGCCGGCACCCGUCUCGAAAACGGUCUGGGGUGACUCCCGUGCGGGUUCGACUCCCGCUCUCUCCGC